rnacentral:rRNA from 1 species
GCCUACGGGGGGCAGCAGUAGGGAAUUUUCGUCAAUGGGCGCAAGCCUGAACGAGCAAUGCCGCGUGAACGAGGAAGGUCUUCGGAUCGUAAAGUUCUGUUGAAGGGGAAAAAGAGCGGAGAGAGGAAAUGGUCUCCGAUUGAUAUUACCCUUCGAGGAAGUCACGGCUAACUACGUGCCAGCAGCCGCGGUAAUACGUAGGUGGCGAGCGUUAUCCGGAAUGAUUGGGCGUAAAGGGUGCGUAGGCGGCCUGCUAAGUCUGGAGUGAAAUGCCGGGGCCCAACCCCGGAACUGAUUUGGAAACU